rnacentral:rRNA from 1 species
AAUACAUCGGAACGUACCUUUUGGUUGAGAAUAGCGUUGGGAAACUGACGGUAAUACUCAAUAAAGUCGAGAGACCAAAAGGUUUACUGCCGGAAGAGCGGCCGAUGCGAUAUUAGGUAGUGGGUGGGGUAAUGGCCUACCAAGCCUGAGAUGUCUAGGGGGUGUAAGAGCAUGGCCCCCACCACUGGGACUGAGAUACUGCCCAGACACCGUACGGGUGGCUGCAGUCGAGGAUCUUCGUCAAUGGGCGAAAGCCUGAACGAGCGACGCCGCGUGCGGGAUGAAGGCCCUUGGGUUGUAAACCGCUGUCAGGGGGGAUGAAACCGUAAGGUUGACAGAGCCCCAGAGGAAGCACGGGCUAAGUUCGUG